rnacentral:rRNA from 1 species
GAUGAACGCUAGCUACAGGCUUAACACAUGCAAGUCGAGGGGCAUCAUGGGAGUUGCUUGCAACUUCUGAUGGCGACCGGCGCACGGGUGAGUAACGCGUAUCCAACCUUCCCCUCAGUAGGGCAUAGCCCGGCGAAAGUCGGAUUAAUACCCUAUGUUCUCCUUUGCAGGCAUCUAACGAGGAGCAAAGAUUGAUCGCUGAGGGAUGGGGAUGCGUCUGAUUAGCUUGUCGGCGGGGUAACGGCCCACCGAGGCAACGAUCAGUAGGGGUUCUGAGAGGAAGGUCCCCCACAUUGGUACUGAGACACGGACCAAACUCC